AAGCUUCUUGGAUUUGGCCACGCCAGCCCCUGCUUCCCUGCUGUCCCUGCCGCAGCUGCUUCGCCCUCCUGGCUCCAUCACCCCGACGGUCGCAGCUGCUCCUCCAUCCUCUGGCACAUUUUUGGGUCAACGAGGCAAGGUUUGGCAUUCGUGACCACACACCAGCCCCCCAUUGUCAGAUCCAAUUUCUCAAAGCUUUAGAGACUUUUUAGAAAACUUUAGUUAAAUUUUUGGCUUUACUUUCAGGCUUAACCCGAGUGUUUUUAUAGGAUAAGGCCCUAAACUGAUCAUGAUCUGCUUUGAACAAGAACCAUUUUAGACUCGUGUUCACCUUGUGGUGGAUGUCAUAAUGCUAUUUUUAGAGGCUCAUGCCCAGUGCCAUGAACUAGACUUGUAAACGCUUGCGAGGAUGGAUAAACCUCCCCUUUUAAAGUAUUCUGGGCAAGAGAUGUUAGCUUCAAGGUCAUGCGUCUUAAAUUUAACUCUUCUGUCCCUCUGAGCGUGUAGAAAUUUUGCCUAGGGGGUGAAGGCAGCGCGUGCUUUCUCGUUGGUGGUAUAAUCAUAUUUUUUUUUUUGGUGAAUUACUUUGUAUUGCAAUUCUCUCUCACUCUGUUGUGCUGUAAUAAAGCCAGCUGAGAUGAAGAAGGAGAUCAAGAUCAAAAAAUAGGCAAGCACUCCAUUAUGAUACAAACGUUUAAAAAAAAUGCUUUAAAUUGCUGAAGGAACAAGCGUUUUUAACAUCUGAAAUAGGAAAAAAAAGACCAAUUUUCAGGAAUAAUGUAGCAGUUUCAACGCUCAUCUUUGGGUAUGAUGGUGGUUAGCAUUAAAGUGGUGUUUUUGCAUUUUUAAGGUGCUGUACAAAUAUUUACUGAUUCCUCGGUGCUGUUAGGAGGAAGAGAGGGGCUGAGAAAUGUAACAUUCGUGCUGGAUCUCCGCAGGCUCCCGAGUUUCUCUUGUGAAUGAAAACGAGAAGCACUUUGGGCAAGUACUGGGAUGAUGCCCAAAAAGGAUUUAGGCACAAAAGGGGGGUGCCACGAUGCUGGUGGCUCAGAUAUCUGACCCCACAGGGAGUGUGGGGACCAAAAAACCUCUGAGAGCAGGGUCUCAGCACUCAGGACCUGUUGUGGCCAUCUCAAAUCCACACGGGGGGUACCUGGCCUGAAGCACCGUGCUCCUCCCCGCACCUGUGGGACAUUUUCAUCCCUAACCCGGUGCCAUAAAGCUAUGAAAAACCUUCAGGAUGCGUGUGACAACUUGACUUCGCCGCAAUCUCUACGUAAUAAUAAAACCAGAAAUGAUGUUUCCCAAGAGCUGAUUCCCAAGCUCUCCGAAUUCAUCUGAUGACUUUGCCCUGCAGCAUGGGGGCUGCCGGAAGGCUCGCAUCUCCCUCCGGGACAUCUGCAGCUGCUCCGAAAGCUAAAUUUGGGCUCACAGCUGGAUUUUGCGGGGUGGCUGCUCUCAGAGAGGCUGGAGUCGAUCCCGGUAUCGCGCUUUGGCUCUUAAUAAUCUAAAAAGCCAUUUAUUGGGGAGAAGACGCCGUCAGAUUUCCAAUGCAAACCCAGCUCCACCUUGGAAAUGAGGAGCUGUUGUUCCCCAACCCAUGGAGCUCGUGGAUGGUUUGCUCAGCACUCACGGAUAGCAUCAGAUUUGGCAAUUUUUUCCUUGAAGCUGGUGUUCCGCGAACGUUUUUCUCUUCACCACGAAAGAGAUUCCAGGAAAACACGGGCUCGGAGACUGCCCUCCUUAAUGGGAGCGUUAAUUAGAAU